GGGCCGCAGGAUAUCCUGGAGUGGCUGCUGCACCCAGCAUCUGCAGAGCUGGUGGGGAGGGGCACUGGGACAAGUGAGGACCCACCACCAGUGGGACACUUGGUUUUAUUUCAUCUUUUCUCUGAGAAAAAUCACAUGCAGACGAUGCCGAGGUUGAAGAAGGCCAGAGCACUCUACAAACCCUUGAGCUGGGUAGCAGAGCCCAGGAUGGUGAUGUGUGUUGGAAGGCUCAACUCUCCCCAGUCUGGAAGCACCCGGGAUAAGACAACAUGGAGGUCAGGAGGGAAAAUAGGAAGAACAUCUCCUGUAAGGAAGAAGGAAUGAGAAACAGCACUGGGAGGAGAUGAUGGCUGCCUGGAAGGAAAGUGCCUGUGACUUCAUGCUAAAAAUACCCUAAGUGCUAUUCGAAAUUAUAUUUCUACCCCUAAGGAAAUAGUCAUGGAUAUGGGAUCUGGUGAACUCAGGAGAGCAGGUAAGACAAUCACAGAGGAGGCAGUGACCAGAGGUCCCAAGUGGAAAACCAACACAGUGUAAGCACCUGGUCACCCACACCCACCAGAAUGAACAGCAGCCCCCUGCCUUCCCCAAGGCCUGUGGGACAGCCCUGCAUCUCCUUCCCACAGCACAGGGACACUCCUGUCAAGCCUCCUGUAGCUGGGUGCUUUUUGGCAGAGAGGUGGAGUGGCUUUUAGAGGCAAAAUCAGCAGCCUCAGCAUUCACAUCUACUUCUGAACAACCAAACCUCCCUUUUCAGAUUUCUUGCCUACUGAAAUGGUGGGUGUCCUUUCCAUGGAUCAGGUAGCAAUCCUUGAUUAUCCUCAUUUUAGUUUGAUGCAUUUUACCUCGCUGUGCUCAAUACUUCUUUCCUCUCUAGAUCUUUUUAUAGCUAGAUUGUCACAUAUCAAUCAAUGUUAUGGAUUAAAGUUGAGUAUAUUGUGACUUGUUUGGGCCUGUAGGAAAGCAUUUUAAACAAAGUUCUAUUUAUUUUAUUUUCCUUGUUGACACUUGUUUUUUUCUCUCUUUUCCAACCUUGUGAAAUGGCAAAACCUGCCAGGAAAAUUGUGGGACUUUAAUUCACUAGAAUUCUUAAAUCACUGUUAGAUGUCAUGGAAUGGUUAUGAAAAGAAGGCAGGUCACCUGGUGAGGUCUGUGACCGCACUGCAGCACAAAAAACCCAAACCAUCUGUUAAUUACACUGAUGGAAAACAUAAUCCAACAUGGUGGUGAAACCUGAUGCUUUGCACGGAGCAUGUAAACGAUUCACAUUGCGAGUGUUGAUCAAAGUGCCUGAACUAUGAGGAGCUCCCUAAGGGCUCCCUGCAGAUCAGGUCACAACCACGGCAUUGUGGGGUGAGGGCAGGGACAGGCUGUGGGUGCAAGAGCUGUGGGAGACCCUCAGGGCAGGUGGGGAGCCAGGGUCCCCACAGUGCCCAGGGCAGUGCCAGGGGAGCCCAGUGCCCACAGACACACACUGCUGUCACAUCCCCAAGCACUCCACUCUGCACUGCUCAAUUCCUACAGAAUCAUGGGAUGGCCUGAGACGGAAGCAACCCACAAGGACCAUCGAGUCCAACUCCUAGGCCGGAACAGGACGUCCCCAAGAGUAAUACUAUGUGCCUGAGAGCCUUGACAAAAUGCUUCUUGAAAUCUACCAGGUUUGGAGCUGUGAUCACUGGCCUGGGGAGCCUGUUCCAGUGCUCAAGCACGCUCUGGGUGAAGAACCUUUUCCUAAUAUCCAACCUAAUUCCCCCCCGGCACGACUCCAGCCGUUCCCUCGGGUCCUGUCACAGUAAGAAGAGAUCGGUGCUGCCCCUGCACUGCCCCUCCCGAGGAAGCUGCAGCCCACCAUGAGCUCUGCCCUCAGUCUCUUCUGCAGGCGGAACAAGCCAGGUGCCCUCAGCCGCUCCUCGUACGGCUUCCCCUUUAGACCGUCCACCAAGGCAGACCCCAGCUCUGAGUCAUCCGGAACGGGGGGCAGCAGCCCAAGCCACGGCCUCUCCCGUCCGGGGAAAGGGGACGAGC